UACGGAGGGUGCAAGCGUUGCUCGGAAUUAUUGGGCGUAAAGGGUAGGUAGGUGGUCUCGUUUGUCAGGGGUGAAAGCCUUGGGCUUAACUCAAGAAGUGCCCCUGAAACGGCGAGACUCGAGUGCUGGAGAGGGUCGUGGAAUUCCCGGUGUAGCGGUGAAAUGCGCAGAUAUCAGGAGGAACACCAAUGGCGAAGGCAGCUCGCUGGGACGGUACUGACGCUGAGACGCGAAAGCGUGGGGAGCAAACAGG
rnacentral:rRNA from 1 species